rnacentral:rRNA from 1 species
UACGGGGGGGGCAAGCGUUGUUCGGAAUUACUGGGCGUAAAGGGCUCGUAGGCGGCCCAACUAAGUCAGACGUGAAAUCCCUCAGCUUAACUGGGGAACUGCGUCUGAUACUGGAUGGCUUGGAUUUGGGGAGAGGGAUGCGGAAUUCCAGGUGUAGCGGUGAAAUGCGUAGAUAUCUGGAGGAACACCGGUGGCGAAGGCGGCAUCCUGGACCAAUAUUGACGCUGAGGAGCGAAAGCCAGGGGAGCAAAGCGGG